rfam:Ixodes scapularis strain Wikel colony gcontig_1108378962194, whole genome shotgun sequence.
GCAGUCGUGGCCGAGUGGUUAAGGCGAUCGACUAGAUAUUCAUUGGGUUCUUCAUGCACAGGUUCGAAUCCUGUCGACUACG